rnacentral:rRNA from 1 species
ACUCANCACNCAGGGUUCGAUUCNGGAGAGCGGUGGGCACCAAUUNGACUCAACACGCAUGGGUUCGAUUCCGGAGAGCGGUGGGCACCAAUUUGACUCAACACGCAAUUUGANUCAACACGCAAUUUGACUCAACACGCAAUUUGACUCAACACGCANNNGACUCAACACGCAAUUUGACUCAACACGCAAUUUGACUCAACACGCAAUCUGACUCAACACGCAAUUUGACUCAACACGCAAUUUGACUCAACACGUAAUUUGACUCAACACGCAAUUUGACUCAACACGCAUUCUGACUCAACACGCAAUUUGACUCAACACGCAAUUUGACUCAACACGCAAUUUGACUCAACACGCAAUUUGACUCAACACGCAAUUUGACUCAACACGCAAUUUGACUCAACACGCAUUUUGACUCAACACGCAUGGGUUCGAUUCCGGAGAGGGGUUGGGCACCAAUUUGACUCAACACGCAUGGGUUCGAUUCCGGAGAGCGGUGGGCACCAAUUUGACUCAACACGCAGGGUUCGAUUCCGGAGAGCGGUGGGCACCAAUUUGACUCAACACGCAUGGGUUCGAUUCCGGAGAGCGGUGGGCACCAAUUUGACUCAACACGCAUGGGUUCGAUUCCGGAGAGCGGUGGGCACUAAUUUGACUCAACACGCAAUUUGACUCAACACGCAAUUUGACUCAACACGCAGGGUUCGAUUCCGGAGAGCGGUGGGCACCAAUUUGACUCAACACGCAAUUUGACUCAACACGCAAUUUGACUCAACACGCAAUUUGACUCAACACGCAAUUUGACUCAACACGCAAUUUGACUCAACACGCAAUUCGACUCAACACGCAAUUUGACUCAACACGCAAUUUGACUCAACACGCAAUUUGACUCAACACGCAAUUUGA